AGGCCACGCUGUUCGCGCUUCUCGCUUAAGGGAAGAGAAAGCUGGGAGAAGACCCAAGAGAAGUCAUGCCCACAUCCUCCCUCCAGCCGGCAGUUCUAGGGCUGCGGCUGCUUUCGCUUCCUUCUUAAUUUUUCUGACAAGAACAGAUGCCACCGCAGCUGACAACCAGCCUGUCGGUGUGAACGGGAAGGCAGGUCCGGCCACUCGUUUGUCUGGCCUAGUGCACAGACUUGCCAGAGCUGUGCCAGCUACAGGAGCACAAGGAGGGAGCAGUCACUCUCACUGUCCUCAAGGCUGAUGGCCCCUCAGAGCCUGGCACGAAGAGGGCUUUGACUUUGACGGAGCAGGACUCCGAAGCCCCGGCUGCCUGGGUGCCUUCGACCAAGUGAACUGCACAAGGUCCUGAGCUCCACAUCUGUAAACCCGGGCGCGGACAGCACCUGCUCCGUUGGGGGCUGGGAGGACUGAGCUCACACCGGUAAGCACUCUGACACAGAGCCUGGCCCACAGCCGGCCAGCUCCUUCUCCCUACCCCCAGCUUCCUCGCCAACCCCGGGGAGCCUCGACGCUCCUGUCAUUCCUCACACCCCCUCACAAUCCAGAAGUGCCCCUGGAGGUCUAACCACUGUCCCUCCUGCUGCAGGGCUCUUGUCAUCCACGGCAGCCCUUUGCACGCACGUGCGGAUGCGUUCCACGCUGCGCUCACGCCCCUUCUGCCUCAGCCCCCGCAGGAGGGGUGUGGACACUCUGAGACCCUGGUCUCAGAGGAGGGAAGAGCUCGGCUUGGGUGAAACGGCUCCCGGCCCCAAACCAGGCUGAUGCUUCCCCCUGGUUAACAACUGCGGUCCAGGCAGCGGCCCCAGCCCCUGCUAAUUACCAUGAUUAGCACUGAGCAAGCUGCUGCAUUUUAUGACUCUCCAAACCAAAAAAAAAUAAUUAAAGCAAUUACUGUCAUUAA